rnacentral:rRNA from 1 species
GACGAACGCUGGCGGCGUGCUUAACACAUGCAAGUCGAGCGGAGCGGCGAACGGGUGAGUAACGCGUGAGUAACUGCCCCCCUCCCUGGGAUAACAGUUGGAAACGGCUGCUAAUACCGGAUAGUGGGGGAUGGCUCGCGUCCUAUCAGCUUGUUGGUGGGGUAGUGGCCUACCAAGGCGCCGACUGGUAGCCGGCCUGAGAGGGCGACCGGCCUCAGUGGUCUGCGUUACGGCCCAAACUCCGACGGUAGGCAGCAGUGGGGAAUAUUGCCCAAGGUGGGAAACCCUGAUGCAGCAACGCGCGUGCGGGAUGACGGCCUGCGGGUUGUAAACCGCUUUCAGCCAUUACGCGGUAGUGGCAGAAGAAGCACCGGCUAACUACGUGCCAGCCGCCGCGGUAAUAC